CCUACGGGGUGCAGCAGUGAGGAAUAUUGGUCAAUGGACGAGAGUCUGAACCAGCCAAGUAGCGUGAAGGAUGACUGCCCUAUGGGGUGUAAACUUCUUUUAUAAAGGAAUAAAACGAGGCACGUGUGCCUUUUUGCAUGUACUUUAUGACUAAGGCCUGGCUAAAUCCGUGCCAGCAGCCGCGGGAAUACGGAGUAGCCGUGCGUUAUACGGAUUUAUUGGGUUUAAAGGAGGCGUAGAUGGAUUGUUAAGUCAGUUGUGAAAGUUUGGGGCUCAACCGUAAAAUUGCAAUUGAUACUGGCAGUCUUGAGUACAGUUGAGGUAGGCGGAAUUCGUGGUGUAGCGGUGAAAUGCUUAGAUAUCACGAAGAACCCCGAUUGCGAAGGCAGCUUACUAAACUGUGACUGACAUUGAUGCUCGAAAGUGUGGGUAUCAAACAGGAUUAGAUACCCGAGUAGUC
rnacentral:rRNA from 1 species